GGCCCGCACAAGCGGCGGAGCAUGCGGAUUAAUUCGAUGCAACGCGAAGAACCUUACCAAGGCUUGACAUACACCGGACCGGGCCAGAGAUGGUCUUUCCCCCUUGUGGGGCUGGUGUACAGGUGGUGCUUGGUUGUCGUCAGCUCGUGUCGUGAGAUGUUGGGUUAAGUCCCGCAACGAGCGCAACCCUCGUUCUAUGUUGCCAGCACGUGAUGGUGGGGACUCAUAGGAGACUGCCGGGGUCAACUCGGAGGAAGGUGGGGAUGACGUCAAAUCAUCAUGCCCCUUAUGUCUUGGGCUUCACGCAUGCUACAAUGGCCAGUACAAUGGGUUGCGAUGCCGCGAGGUGGAGCUAAUCCCAAAAAGCUGGUCUCAGUUCGGAUCGUGGUCUGCAACUCGACCACGUGAAGUCGGAGUCGCUAGUAAUCGCAGAUCAGCAACGCUGCGGUGAAUACGUUCCCGGGCCUUGUACACACCGCCCGUCAAGUCACGAAAGUUGGUAACACCCGAAGCCG
rnacentral:rRNA from 1 species